rnacentral:rRNA from 1 species
CCUACGGGAGGCAGCAGUAGGGAAUCUUCCGCAAUGGACGAAAGUCUGACGGAGCAACGCCGCGUGAGUGAUGAAGGUUUUCGGAUCGUAAAGCUCUGUUGUUAGGGAAGAACAAGUGCCGUUCAAAUAGGGCGGCCCUUGACGGUACCUAACCAGAAAGCAACGGCUAACUAAGUGCCAGCAGCCGCGGUAAU